rnacentral:rRNA from 1 species
GGGCGUCGACCGGCGCACGGGUGAGUAACGCGUAUCCAACCUUCCCGCAAGUAAGGGAUAACCCGUAGAAAUGCGGCCUAAUACCUUAUGUUUUCCUUAGAUGGCAUCUGAUGAGGAACAAAGAUCCGUCGCUUGCGGAGUGGGGAUGCGUCUGAUUAGUUAGUCGGCGGGGUAACGGCCCACCGAGACGACGAUCAGUAGGGGUUCUGAGAGGAAAGUCCCCCACAUUGGAACUGAGACACGGUCCAAACUCCUACGGGAGGCAGCAGUGAGGAAUAUUGGUCAAUGGGCGGAAGCCUGAACCAGCCAAGUAGCGUGCAGGACGACGGCCCUAUGGGUUGUAAACUGUCUUUUAUAAGGGAAUAAAGUGGGUCUCGUGAGACUUUUUGCAUGUACCUUAUGAAUAAGGACCGGCUAAUUCCGUG